rnacentral:rRNA from 1 species
UGGGGAAUAUUGCACAAUGGGGGAAACCCUGAUGCAGCGACGCCGCGUGAACGAAGAAGGUAUUCGUAUCGUAAAGUUCUGCCCUAUGGGAAGAUAAUGACAGUACCAUAGAAGAAAGCUCCGGCUAAAUACGUGCCAGCAGCCGCGGUAAUACGUAUGGAGCGAGCGUUGUCCGGAAUUAUUGGGCGUAAAGGGUACGCAGGCGGUUUAAUAAGUCGAAUGUUAAAGAUCGGGGCUCAACCCCGUAAAGCAUUGGAAACUGAUAAACUUGAGUAGUGGAGAGGAAAGUGGAAUUCCUAGUGUAGUGGUGAAAUACGUAGAUAUUAGGAGGAAUACCAGUAGCGAAGGCGACGUUCUGGACACAAACUGACGCUGAGGUACGAAAGCGUGGGGAGCAAACAGG